GGAGUCGCCUCUUCACUGUUGACGUUGAGACUGGUGUUUUGCGGGUACUGUUUCAUGAAGCUGCCAGUUGAGGACUUGUGAGGCGUCUGUUAUAUAUAUAUAUAUAUAAAUAAAAUAAGGGCAUGACCUGUCUUAAUGUACAACAUUGAACUCACAGUAAGAGGGACUACUUUCCCAGACAGCCUGAUAUGAGAUUCUUAGAUCUACACCAAUUCAAUCAUUCAAUGACUCUCUUGCUUCAAAGGUAACAUUAAAGUCUUCCAUCACACUAACCAUGCGGACUCAAUAAACAAGAGUUGGUAUAGAUUCUAUUAAGCCAUUAAGAUCAAAAAACUUUCCUCUGAGAACCAAAUGUUUGGGAAAGCAGCUCUCUUAUUGUGAGGCAUAACAGACUUCCUCUUCAAAUCAUGAGCUGGGUCAUGUUCAAUAGGUACAAAAUGGAAGAAAAUUGAUUGAAAUGUGGAAAUACUAUCUUAGACUUGUCCAAUAAGAAGGGCUUGUUUUUGCUUUCCGUUCAAAAACGUUUUUCUACGGUGUGACUUAAUGAACACAACCCAGGUUAAGUUUGGGGAUGCACAGAGAAAGAACAAGGCCUUAACUAUAUGGCUUAAUGUAUCUAACAUUAAUGAUCUAUGCAGAAGAUGUUAUUUGACUUCUGAUAAAUGACCACAGAUAAAUACCAAAUGAUUGUGAACUGGUUCCACUAUCUAACAUGUUGUCUUAUAAAAGAGUUUAUGUAGAAAUCUUUUAUUUUCUUCCUAUUUGUGAUUAAAAAAGAAACAACACUAAACUGUCAUAAAAACACACAUGAAAAAGAACAAACAUUCCACUGUCAAGCGGCUUUAUUGGUUUGUUGUUCCGGAUCCCUUAUUUUAAGAGGUUGACAUUGUACACGUGUCACAAUAUUUCAGCAAGGUGCGCAGUAUAAGGCCAGGAUUCAAUCCGAUUGUGCUUUGUCAGCUAUACGCCAUUUAAAGGCCGAUUGAGCCAACAUAUGCAGCAUUAACCCUGAAUGCAAACCUGGGAACAUUGCCUUUAAAAGGUGCAUUGAUGACAAAGUGUGAUCAGAUUGAAUCCUGGCCCCAGAGAGCAGCAAUAGUAGGCUAUAUGGUGUAUCAAGAACUAAUGACAUGAACAGAUGUACGAAUACAUAAAAGUUUCAGUCAUCAUUUCUUCUGAUUGUUUUAGUUUUGUUGAUUCAAUUGACAAAGCAGCCCUUUUAGUGAGAAAUAAAACACUACAGCAAUAAAAACAACAUAAAAUAUUUUUGAUGAGUUAAGUUAAGAGGAUUUUUUUGCAAUCUUUUAAUUUAUGUACAAUAGAAAACCUCACAUUUCUGGAUAGAAAUAUCUUUGGUCACUGUAAAUUAAGCAAAGAUUUCAGGUAUGUACAUGUUCUUCCUCUUUGUACUGUUUCAAACAAACAUACAUUUCUUCAUGUUGAGAAAAAUGACAUAUCAUAUAAAUGUCGUUUUUUUCAUAUUCGCUCACACUGACCAUCAGAAAACUGCCACCAGUGAGCUGUAAAACACACCAUCUUUUUUCAGCUAGGGAAAAAAAUCAACACAUUUUCUACACACAUAUUAUACAAUUGACUCUCGUACAAGGCUAAACAUGAUCAUAAAUGAAAGCACUGUCGUCCUUCACUUCACUCUGGAAUGUAACAAAAAACUAAAGGACAGAAAACAAAAACAAACAAGACAUUCUAAUGCAGACAAUUGCAUGGGUACAAACAACAAAAACUGAAUAAUCUAAUGUAUUUUCCGCCAAAAAAUAUAGUAGUCAUCUCAAUUACCUAGUAGUCAUCUCAAUUAACAGAUAGACCAACAUCCCCACUCUUAGCCAUUUUGUGGUCUCAAUCCACCUCAUCAACACAUUACUUUUGUUCGUUAUCAUGAGAAAAUACAAAUGUUCCCAUAAUUGAUGUAGGCCCUGUUUGCAACCAUACAGAAAACCUUUUUUCCCAGCAUGCUCAACUGGAGGUUGGUUUUUUGGAAUUGUUUUUAAUAUCUGUCUUUGCAUGUACAUUGAAUGAUUGAUUUAUAUUUUGCUACACAAAGAUAAAUAACACAUUUUUCUAAACUAAUCCAAAUCAUUUAGUUAGAUUUAUUGCACCCAUUACUAAAAUAGUUGUUCUAGUUUAAAUGGCUUAGAUAGUCUUCUAACACUGUUCUUAACCCUGGCAGUCAUUAUGAAUGGGUGAAUAAUGUAAUUGUUGGAUAUCAAAUAGGAAUUACACCUCUCUUUGCAAGCCAGCAUGAGGUUACUUGCAGGUAGGGUUGCAAAAUUCUUCAGAAAUCCCGGUUGGAAGAUUCCUGGAAAUCCUUCAACCAGGAGUUUUGGGGAAUUUUGGGACAGUUACCAUCAUUUUGCAAUCCUACUUGCAGGAUUGAUUUGGCCUUUAAACCAUGAGUUUCAGGCGCUUGCAUUAGGGUAAAGCUAGGCCUCAAAAUAAGGCCUUAUGAGAUAUGUAAUGUAUUGUCAUAGAGUUUAAUUAUAAUGAUAACAUGCACCUAUUAACUCACUUGGUGAAGGCCACAGGACUGAAAAUGAACAAAUUCAACAACCAUGUCUCUGUCACUAACAAAUACAGUCAUUGGUGGUAACGCUACAAUUCACUCGAAAAGGCAAGGAACACUGGAAAAUAAUAUUGGAGGCAAGGUUUUUUUUCGGGGCGUUACUUAACAUUUUCAAGCUGAUACAACUCAAGUCUGGACACCCUACAGGAUCACAGUGUUUGAGUAAUGACUACAAAAUCACUAAGUAACUGUACUUGGAUAUAUUAAGUGCAAGAGGUUUCCUCAAAAGAUUUGAAGUAAUGACAGCACAUUGGGCUUUACAGUGUACAUAGGACCAUAGACAAUAUAAAAUAGCAUGUCAGUGGCACUUCUUUAACUGUAGUGCAAUAAUGUAUUUAGUUCAUACUCCUGUGUAGACUGUACUGAUUACUGUUUGUUUCUUUGAUUUUAGGCUAUGUUAAACUACACGUACGAUAGACAUGGCAUUAUAAGGAUUUUUUUGUCCUGUCAUCUUGUAAUCUCUUGUGAUUGUUUUGAUACCAUUUUCAAUGUACUAUAUGUAAAAAUCCAGCCUCAGGCACAUACAAUAAACCAAAAAUGUAAGAUUGCCAAA